rnacentral:lncRNA from 1 species
AGAGAUAGAGGAAAAUAAUAGCAUAUUAUAUGAAGCAGAGACUUCUGAAGAGAUAUUUGAACCCCUUGUGAAAGAUGAAGCCCAACUGUGUGGACAAUUUAUUACAGAAAACAAUAGCAGCGGCCCAGAGAGACCCUAGGACACUUGACUGCCAACCAAAGUCUCCAGGCUCAAGAAGUCUUCAUGAGGAUGAUACCAACUUUAUCAGAGAAGGAAAUUUUCAAAAGAAGUCUAACAUUAUUAAAGAGUCAAGAAUAGAUCAGCCCUGUAAGUGAAAGUAAAAGUAGAAUGGCAGUGACUGGCCUCAGAACAAUUAUUCCCCACGACUUCUGUCCUUUGCCUAUUUUUCCUAGUAUUGGCAAUGAAUGUGUAUUCUGAAGUUCCACCACGGACAAUGUCAGGCUCACCUUCACGUUCUGAUUUGAGACAAACACAGUGGACUUCAUGGGAACCUGACGAGGUGUGAAUUGACUGUUGCUUCUAGAUCUUUUUGGCUUUAUUUCCUGUGUGUUCAUGGUAGCAAUUUCUUAUUUUUGAAAGUGUUUAAUCUCAACUCUGAGAGACAUUUCAAUUGUUUAGAAUGAUGAGAGAGAAAGAAUAGUGACAAAAGAGCUAUAAUUAAUGUUUUUUCCCAGUCAUUCACUUGACA